rnacentral:lncRNA from 10 species
AUCGGUCUUCAUACGUCCUUUUUUGUGUUUUUCAGAGUCUAGGUUGGAGUCUUUUGCUCCAGAGCCCCUCUUGUGGGCAGGCAGAAUUCUAAUACUCAUGAUCUUGGCUCUCUAUCUAAUUAGAAACUAAAGAGAGUUCUUUGUUUUCAGCUCUCAUAGUGCAAUUCCAUCUAAAACAGUUGCUACCUUAAUUCUCUGAGGUGGAGUGCAAGCCUACGUCAGCCUGUUCAAUAUUUUAAGACACAAGUUUCUCACGUCUCAGCAAAUGGAAACCUACAGGGUUGUAGCAGGUCCUCAACAUAAACACAUCGCUUUCUUCCUCUGUACUGGAGUGUAGCAACACAAAGACACAGCCAACAAUUUCACUUGGUGGUCUGAUGAACUCUCAUAAAUGCCUUGUUUACAGCAUAAGAAUUCCCACCCAAUGGCUUCAAUCUUUAGGUAGAAAUUUGUCACUUGCCUACCUCUAAAUGCACAGUCCAGAAGAGUAAAAACAGCAACAAUGACAAGAUUCUGUUUAAGAAAAAAGAAGAAGAUAGAUAUUUGAAUGUUGUGGAGAUGUUGGCAGGUGUGAUGCAGCAAGCAUGGGGACUAAAGCAAACAUAUCAUGGAUUGUGGAGCAGAACUUGGACCAAACCCAAAUCCCAAUAAGCAUUGCUGAACACUUGCAUCAGCCCAGGAUUACCUAUCUAUGGACUCCUACACCACAUGCCAUUAGAUGCAGAGGCUACAUCCUAAGAUGUAUUCCAGAAAUCUUAGAACAUAAAAAUUAUUUCUCACUCUGUCUACUUGUAGAUAAAUAGAAGCCAUUGUUGUAGGACCCCAUCCAGGGGCCUAUGUCAUAUAAAUUAUUGAACGACAGUUUAUUAGCCCAUUCUCAUGCUGCUAUAAAGAACUACCCAAAACUGGGUAAUUUAUUAAAAAAAAAGAGGUUUAACUGACUCACAGUUUCACAGGCUAUACAGAAGGCAUGGCUGGGGAGGCCUCAGGAAACUUACAAUCACAGCUGCAAGCGAAGGGGAAGCAGGCACAUCUUCAUAUGGCAGCAAGAGACAGAGAGAGUGAAGCGGGAAGUGCUACACACUUUUAAACAACUAGAUCACAUGAGAACUCUAUCACAAAAACAGCAAGGGGGAGGCCCCCCCGCCAUGAUCCAAUCACCUCCCACCAAGCUCCUCCUCCAACACAUGGGGAUUACAAUUCAACAUGAAGAAUUGGGUUGGGACACACAGAGCCAAACCAUAUCAGACAGUCAAUUGAAAUUUGACUUAAAAAUCAGUAAACUACCUAGAUAAGAGAUUAUAAAUAACUUCCAUAACAAUUUGGUAAUAAACUCCUGAUAAGUCCUAUAUUUUUAAAAAAUCCAGCUAAACUAAAACUAAACAAAAAUGCUAAUAAUAGAGAGGCUUUCAAGUUCAGAAGAGUUAACGCUAGUUUAAUUCCUCAUCUUUAUUCCCCAGAGUCUUGCUCUGUCACCCAGGCUGGAGUGGCAUGCUGGGUUCACUGCAGCCUCUGCCUCCUGGGUUCAAGCAAUUUGCCUGCCUUGGCCUCCCGAGUAGCUGGGAUUACAGGCGCUGUGCACCAUCACACCUGACUAAUUUUUGUAUUUUUAGUAGAGAGAGGGUUUCACCAUGUUAGCCAGGCUGGUCUUGAACUCCUGACCUCAGAUGAUCCACCCGCCUCAGCCUCCCAGAGUGCUGAGAUUACAGGUGGGAGGCACCGCGCCUGGACUCCUCAUCUCUUUUCUUACCUUAAAGAAGUUAACUAACUUUUUGUCUCAAUUACUUAAUCUGUUAAUUAGUCAAUAAUACCUUUUUCACAAUAUUAUUGCUAUACAUGGAAAACAGCAGUUACAUUUCUAGUACAUGGUACUUUUUCAAUAAAUAGCAGCUAUCAUUAAAGCUCACAAAAUCAAGUCAUUCCCUAAGGUCACUAGCUAUGCCAAUUGAUUCUUCUUGGGGCAAUUGAUUCUUCUUUUACGUAAUAAGUGGAUUAGACAAAAUGACUCUUUAAUAUUCUAUAACUACAUAAGACAAAAGUUGUCCCUAUAAACCAGCAUCUCAUACAAGUGGAGUUGCAGAGAAAGAAAAUAAUACUUGAGUUCUAGUCCUAACUCCACCACUGCCCACCAGGUCAACAGAGAAACCACAGAUCCCUUCUGUGUAGAAUUACAGGGUUGAGUGAAUAUGAUCUCUGAUAGUCUCUGAUGCUGUUGGUACCAGACAAAAAUGUCUGAUACUUUUGGUCAUGGUGGGCAGACAACAUGUGAAAGCAGAAGUGAGUUCAAAGCUGGAAGAGUUCACCAUAUUUCAGGAUCAACUGCUGAGACUUGGAUGUCUGGCACCAUUUUGAUCAAAGGCUCAAACCUGUGCCUCUUGACUCUGGUGUCCAGUGCUGGGAAGUCUAUUUGAGACACAGUUUUGCUUCCCUUGCUCUAGGAUAAAAGGGAAGUUAUAGGCUUGUAUUAAUUAAACGUCCGUAAAGUGUGGAUGAGUGAGGCACAUAUACAAUGAAAGUAAAAAGGGAUGUAACCAACCUAAGGAAGGAGUUCUAAAUUCCAUCACCACACACUAGGCCUAUAUGAAGAGAUAACACAAUAAUUAUAGAAAAGGGAUUAUAAGCACCAGGACCUGAAAAUCACCCCCCUCCUUUUUUUUUUUUUAAUGGAGAUAGAGUCUUGCUAUGUCACCCAGGCUGGAGUGCAGUGGCAUGAUCUCGGCUCACCGCAAUCUCCGCCUCCUGGGUUCAAGCAAUUCUCCUACCUCAGCCUCCCGAGUAGCUGGGAUUACAGGUGCCACACCCUGCUAAUUUUUUGGGUUUUUUUUGUAUUUUAGUAUCACCAUGUUGCCCAGGCUGGGCUCGAACUCCUGAGCUCAGGCAAUCCGCCCGCCUCGGCCUCCCAAAGUGCUGGGAAAAUCCCCUUUGAAUGUCAGGGACAGGUUACCUAGGAGAAAGGCACAGCAUUGCAAACAUAAAAUUAAGCAGUUAAUUUCAGAGGAAAAGACUGAGUUUUAGAAAGCCCCUGUUCACUGGAAACAAAAAAUGUGACCAUACAAAAGAGCCUAUAGCAUCAUUUCCAGUUUAGUCUAGUUAGUAGGGAGGGAAUCAUGAUGUGUUGUGUGUGUGGUCUGGGCCUCAAGCCAUUGGGAAAUGCUUAGAAGAAUUUGAUCUACUAUGUUUGUAAGUCUGAUUUACUUGAUUUACAAUUUCUACAAUUUCAGUACUUAGCAAGAUGUUGUUAGAUCUGUAUUUGAGUGUUUAAAAUAAAAUCUGUAUAUAUCUUAGUCAAUUAAACAUUUGAGAUAAUACAGAUGUAUUAAAGUUGUCAUUGUAGUUUAACAUAUCCAAGGCAAUUUUAUUAAAUACAUAAAAUGGUGUUGUUUGAAAAAGAAUUUGAUCUCACAUAUCAAAUUCAGAAAAGCAUUUUUUCAAAGUUACUAAAUGUAAAAAUAAAAUAAGAUUUAUAAUUCAAACUUAAAGUCUUGAAAAUUUUUAAUUUAAAAAUUGUACCUUUAAUCAAAGGAAUAUUGAUUAAAAUCCAAGUUUGGGAUAGAAUUCCUGUUCCUGAACAAAAUCCCCACUGAUAUUAUUCCUUUCAGCAUUUGUCUUCCUGUAGUCUGGCUACCCCAGGCAAAGUGCAGCAGGAGGCAGAAGAAUCCCAUCAUAAGUAGGUAGGCACAAAUCUUUCACGUGUUUCUGCCCAUGCCUGCAUCUGUAGUGCCACCUAGUGUCAGAGAGGGAUAAUAACAUUUUUAGAAGUCAAGGGUGGAGCAUGAAACCCAUUUCAAUUCUCAAUUUUUUCUUAAAUUCUGAAUGUGUGAAACUUUCCAAAAUCGUGGUGUCUAAGCCUUUUUUCUCUCUGCUGUCUCAUGGCAUUUUGUGUUUUCUUGUUUAUAUUCCCAUAGCACAUUCUAUUCAUAUCAUUGAGUAUAUUUCUUAGCUUUGGGUUUAGUAAAACCUCUGCCUUCAUGCAGCUUGUGCACUAGUAAGAUUUCCACUUCUGUCAUACUAUUUAUCACAGCUGGUUCAUAUCAGCAUCAUUUAUAUAUGUCCACCUCUUUUAUUGCCUGGGAGCUGUUUUCUCAAUAGUGCCUCAUUACUAAAGAGGGCCUUGCCUUGUGUUCAAUGAAUACAUAUGGAAUUAAAUAGAUGAGCAAAAAAGAAUAUUGAGC